rnacentral:rRNA from 1 species
CUACGGGCUGCUGCAGUCGAGAAUCUUCGGCAAUGGACGAAAGUCUGACCGAGCGACGCCGCGUGCGGGAUGAGGGCCUUCGGGUUGUAAACCGCUGUCAGAGGGAAGGAAAUUUUGACCGAUCCUCAAAGGAAGUACGGGCUAAGUUCGUGCCAGCAGCCGCGGUAAGACGAACCGUACAAACGUUAUUCGGAAUCACUGGGCUUAAAGGGUGCGUAGGUGGUCUAUUAAGUUGGGUGUGAAAUCCCUCGGCUCAACCGAGGAACUGCGCUCAAUACUGGUAGACUUGAGGGAGAUAGAGGUGAGCGGAACUGAUGGUGGAGCGGUGAAAUGCGUUGAUAUCAUCGGGAACACCUGUGGCGAAAGCGGCUCACUGGAUCUCUUCUGACACUGAGGCACGAAAGCUAGGGGAGCGAACGGGAUUAGAUACCCCGGUAGUC